ACGGAAGGCAGCAGUGGGGAAUAUUGCACAAUGGGGGAAACCCUGAUGCAGCAACGCCGCGUGAGUGAAGAAGUAUUUCGGUAUGUAAAGCUCUAUCAAUAGGGAAGAAAAUGACGGUACCUAUAUAAGAAGCCCCGGCUAACUACGUGCCAGCAGCCGCGGUAAUACGUAGGGGGCAAGCGUUAUCCGGAUUUACUGGGUGUAAAGGGAGCGUAGGUGGCCUAGCAAGUCAGAAGUGAAAGCCCGCGGCUUAACUGCGGGACUGCUUUUGAAACUGUCCGGCUAGAGUACAGGAGGGGUAAGCGGAAUUCCUAGUGUAGCGGUGAAAUGCGUAGAUAUUAGGAAGAACACCGGUGGCGAAGGCGGCUUACUGGACUGAAACUGACACUGAGGCUCGAAAGCGUGGGGAGCAAACAGGAUUAGAUACCCUGGUA
rnacentral:rRNA from 1 species